AGGGUUCACCCAGGGCCCAGAAGCUUGUGUCUGGACCAUUGAGAAAGACAACUGGACAGUUCUAUGUGGAUACGAACAUGCAGGAAGAAGUCCAUGCUUCGCUCGCCUGGGACUGCCAACACGGCAUGGUGUGUGCUGCCUACAGACCAGAGAAGUGGACAGUGGCGCCUGCUGCAAGCUGCUGGGGCACCCGCUGCAGAGCUGCGGCUGAGGAG
rnacentral:lncRNA from 1 species